rnacentral:rRNA from 1 species
UUUAUUAGAUAAAAAACCAAURCAURYUUUUACAGUAUGAAAGUUGGUGAUUUACAAUAACUUAGCAAAUCGCAAAGUGUAAACAGGCGAUAAAUCAUUCAAGUUUCUGACCUAUCAGCUUUCGACGGUAUGGUAUUGGCUUACCGUGGCAGUGACGGUUAACGGGGGAUUAGGGUUCGAUUCCGGAGAGGGAGCCUGAGAAACGGCUACCACAUCUAAGGAAGGCAGCAGGCGCGCAAAUUACCCAAUUCUAACAGYWURAGAGAGGUAGUGACAAGAAAUAACAAUACAAGGCAAUUAAAAUGCUUUGUAAUUGGAAUGAUAGAAAUUUAAACACUUUUUAAAGUAUCAAUUGGAGGGCAAGUCUGGUGCCAGCAGCCGCGGUAAUUCCAGCUCCAAUAGCGUAUAUUAAAAUUGUUGCAGUUAAAAAGCUCGUAGUUGAAUUUCUGYUAAAAAUAACCGGUCUGCUUUUAUAUAAAAGUGGUAUCUUGGUGUGUUUUUAGCAAUAAUG